AUGACAACAGCAGCUCGGCCAACUUUUGAACCUACAAGAGGUGGAAGAGGAAAAGGUGAAGGUGAUUUGAGCCAGCUGUCAAAGCAGUAUUCAAGCAGAGACCUACACUCUCAUACAAAGAUAAAAUAUAGACAGACCACUCAGGAUGCCCCUGAAGAGGUUCGAAACCAUGACUUCAGGAGAGAGUUGGAAGAGAGAGAGAGCUGCUGCAAGAGAAAAAAACAGAGAUCGGCCAACCCGAGAACAUAUAACCUUUUCUUCAGUGUCAAAGAAGCCCCGAUUGGACCAGAUUCCUGCUGCCAACCUUGAUGCAGAUGACCCUCUAACAGAUGAGGAAGAUGAAGAUGAAGAUUUUGAAGAGGAGAGUGAUGAUGACGACACUGCAGCUCUUCUUGCAGAGCUGGAAAAAAUUAAAAAAGAAAGAGCUGAAGAGCAGGCCAGGAAGGAACAAGAACAAAAGGCUGAAGAAGAAAGGAUUCAUAUGGAAAACAUUCUGAGUGGAAACCCUCUUCUUAAUCUCACUGGCCCAUCCCAGCCUCAGGCCAACUUCAAAGUUAAAAGAAGGUGGGAUGAUGAUGUUGUCUUCAAGAACUGUGCAAAAGGUGUAGAUCAUCAGAAGAAAGACAAAAGAUUUGUAAAUGAUACGCUUCGAUCUGAAUUUCACAAAAAGUUCAUGGAGAAAUACAUUAAAUAGUACAGUUUUAUGUGCUGAAUUGAAGGCUAUAAAAUGUAAAUGAUCUGACUUCAUUUUGAUUUAUUUUUCCCUCCCCACCCAUGUCUAAAUUGUGUAUAGGCUUCCCUAAUUUUUAGUUCCAAAGUAUCUUUUCCUUUAUUGGUUAAUUACUUGGUAAGGACUUGGGAAUUGGUUUAACCCAGUUUCCAUCUCAAUAUUUCCAGUCAUGUGUUUUCUCUUAAAUAUGGGAAAAGAAACCUGCUUAUAAUAAAUAUUUUUAAUAAU